GAUGAACGCUGGCGGCGUGCCUAAUACAUGCAAGUCGAGCGAACAGACGAGGAGCUUGCUCCUCUGACGUUAGCGGCGGACGGGUGAGUAACACGUGGAUAACCUACCUAUAGACUGGGAUAACUUCGGGAAACCGGAGCUAAUACCGGAUAAUAUAUUGAACCGCAUGGUUCAAUAGUGAAAGACGGUUUUGCUGUCCCUUAUAGAUGGAUCCGCGCCGCAUUAGCUAGUUGGUAAGGUAACGGCUUACCAAGGCAACGAUGCGUAGCCGACCUGAGAGGGUGAUCGGCCACACUGGAACUGAGACACGGUCCAGACUCCUACGGGAGGCAGCAGUAGGGAAUCUUCCGCAAUGGGCGAAAGCCUGACGGAGCAACGCCGCGUGAGUGAUGAAGGUCUUCGGAUCGUAAAACUCUGUUAUUAGGGAAGAACAAAUGUGUAAGUAACUAUGCACGUCUUGACGGUACCUAAUCAGAAAGCCACGGCUAACUACGUG
rnacentral:rRNA from 1 species